CUGGGAGACUUUUGCACUCAUACAGAUGGUGAUUCCAGUCUCCUGGUCAAAGUCAAGCUGUAUUAAUUGUGUUUUCCCUCUGCUUUUUACCGUGUCAAUUCUUGUUCCCUUUCAGGCUACAGCCAUGGUCUAUACCACAGUCCUGAAGUACGACUGUAGCUGGUUGUGAUGCACCUGUGACUAGUUAGUUGGAAGCCAACACCUGGGCAACCACAGCUGCUCAGUAUUUAAACAGGGACCUCAGAGUUCUCUCUUUUCCUCUGAUGAUGGCUACAGCACUACUGAAGCUGUCCCAUCCCAAAUUACCGGCUAUUUGGGUCUCAGCCUACAAUCCCACUCAGCCAGGAGACUCUGUCCUCUAGACAACAUCUAAGAAAGAAAAUAUGAGCCCAAGCAUGCCAUGGAGAUCGUUCUGCGGAAGAGCUUUGUCACUGGAGCUCCAUUCUUGUCGCUCAAGCCGAGCCAGUUCCUGGAGAACUCUGUGGGUCUUGAAGCAAAAAGGCAAUCAAGCCUGCAAAAUGAAAACUUGCUUUCUGUGAGCAUUAACCAUAGAAGAGGCUCAGUCAUGGCAGCUGGAGAAACCAAGAUGAUAAAUCCAUGAGAGUGGGCAGAAUCAGAUCCACACAGCACUGUCUUUGGAUAGUCUGUGCCACUCGUGCAGAAUCAAUCCCUCCUGGCUCUCCUUGCUGCAGGUUCCUCAUUGGGUUUUGCAGCUCAGAGGAGCUGGCAAGUGGCAACACUGGCAUUGUCGCGUGUGCCCCUGUGAUACCACUCAAAGGGAAGAGCAUGGCACACAGCCGGAGCAAAACCAGGAUGUUUUAAGCCAUUUUCUCCAGCAUCUAGGCGUUCGGCAGCCGGCUCGCGCUCGAGCGGUGGAAGUCCUGUAUUUCUUCAGGACAAACAAGUACUUGCUCUGGACCUUCACCUACUGACUGAGACUUUCCCGGGGCUGAGCCCAACUCUGAGAAUGCUGAUGCACAAACACGGGUUCUGCAGAUGCGGCUGGCCGGGCUUCCGUCGCUGCAGGGUGACGUUGCACAGGGUGACAAAGGAUGGGUUGACCCUGAGAACCGGCCACUGUCAUCUGGGUACUGAUUAAAUGGAUUAGUUCUUGGUGCUCACAUUCCCCAAAGGCAACUAACUACUCUGUGCGCACCAAUGUGUUCAGAGGUAUCUUCAUGAAAAUGCUGCUGAUUCCCACUUAGUCAGGGGCGUGAUGAGCUUCAGUUAGGUUAAUAUGAGUAAUUACAGUCAACUACUGUUUUAGGGCAAACUGAGCUUUCCCCAGUAAUUGUAGAUAUUAGUUACCAGUCUGCGUACAGUGGUGUGUAUUUUUAUAGUUAUGAAAGCUUACUAGUAAUUGAAUGAUAGAUUAUUGCUAUUAUCCUGUAUAUCUGGGAGAAAACAGAUAAUUUUGUUGCUUUUUCGUGUGUUCUGUUACAAAUAGGAGCUGGGUUUUAUCUAUUUGCUAUGGAAAAGUCUAUGCCAAUAUCCUUCCCUUCAGCUGCCUGCAGCAUUUUACAGUACAGAAAUAAGAGACCAGCUGCUUGAAUUAAAUCAAGUGUUUUCCAGAGUCUGCUCAAGAGUGAUGGUGAAGCCUUUGCUUGAUUUCUCGGAAUGCAAAGGGUGAUAAGUGUGUUUUGCUGGGGAUCUCUGAGCCCCACAAGGCAGCUCAGAGAGGGACCCAGGCUGGGGCAGACAGGUCCCUGGGGAGGGAGUGCUCUUAAGCUCCUCUGUAGCAAUUACUGCAUUAACUGCUCCCUCACAUGCUCAAGUUUUUCAUUUUGACAAGGUGGCAGACCCUGGAUUUUGGAGUGGCAUGCAGUAUACACACCCAUAGCAGUGUGGGGAAGGAUUUACAUUGCUCAGCAGGACAGAGGGAUUCAAGUGGCAAAUAGCAGCCUGCCUUGUGCUGGAUCAGUUGUGUUGGGACGUACUUUUGGUAGGGUUCAGGGCUGCUUCAUGUCUUCAAGGUUAUAACCUUGCCCUAAGACGUUGUUACGGCAUGUGGUGGGGAAGAUGGUUUUGCCUUCCUCUUCUGCUCCCACAUGUUCAUCUCUGCAGCUCCAGCCACCCCCUGACAGGCUGUCUGUAAAGUAAAAGGAUUUCACUGGAGAAAACUGAGCAUCCCUUGAUUCUGUGCCCCAUCUGUUUUGGCUAAUACCAAUCACAGCAGUCACAUGCUCCAAGAUGAUCACUCAGGCCAGUGGCAGUCUGCUGAGAAAUAGAGUUCCUUUAUAGCUAAGAUAGGAAGAUAAGGUAUUGCUAUGUUAUUUAAAGCAGAGUAUUUAUGCCUGAAUAAAGUUACUCCAGUUUCGGAGCUGGGUGUUUGCCUGGAAAGUCAGGAUUUACAUUCCACCCCAGGGACAGAAGCUCCCUUGUACACUUUCAUAUCUCUCUUUUCUUCAAAGUCAUAUGCCUCACCUACAGCUUCAUUACUACCUACAAUUACAACAUACAGCUCCCAU